AUUGAACGCUGGCGGCAGGCUUAACACAUGCAAGUCGAGCGAGCGGCGGACGGGUGAGUAAUGGCUGGGAAACUGCCUGAUGGAGGGGGAUAACUACUGGAAACGGUAGCUAAUACCGCAUACCAUCGGAUGUGCCCAGAUGGGAUUAGCUAGUAGGUGGGGUAAAGGCUCACCUAGGCGACGAUCCCUAGCUGGUCUGAGAGGAUGACCAGCCACACUGGAACUGAGACACGGCCCAGACUCCUACGGGAGGCAGCAGUGGGGAAUAUUGCGCAAUGGGCGAAAGCCUGACCGAGCAAUGCCGCGUGAAUGAAGAAGGCCUUCGGGUUGUAAAGUACUGUCAGCGGGGAGGCGGUAUCCGCAGAAGAAGCACCGGCUAACUCCGUGCCAGCAGCCGCGGUAAUUC
rnacentral:rRNA from 1 species